rnacentral:misc_RNA from 1 species
GAUGAAGAACGCAGCGAAAUGCGAUAAGUAAUGUGAAUUGCAGAAUUCAGUGAAUCAUCGAAUCUUUGAACGCACAUUGCGCCCUCUGGUAUUCCGGGGGGCAUGCCUGUUCGAGCGUCAUUACAACCCUCAAGCUUUGCUUGGUAUUGGACAUUGCCAGUUUCUGGCAGGUCUUAAAAUCAGUGGCGGUGCCAUUUGGCUUCAAGCGUAGUAAUUCUUCUCGCUUUGGAGAUCCAGGUGGUUACUUGCCAAUAACCCCCAAUUUUUUCAGGUUGACCUCGGAUCAGGUAGGGAUACCCGCUGAACUUAAGCAUAUCAAUAACGGAGGA